AGCGGUGAUUUUUAGUUUUACAGUGGUUAUUUUUCAUAUUUGGGGGUUUGUAGAUGGUGGCAGUGGUCUAUAGAUGGUGGUGGUUAUUGUAGUGAUUUAUAUUAAAUCUGGUGAUUUUUAUUAUGAUUUUGGUAGUCGGAGUUGAUAAAUGGAGCUGGUGGCCGGACUUAUGAAUAUGAAUAGUGGGUGGGUGUAGAAAUUUUUGUUUUAUGGUGGUCAUUUUCAGUUUUUCAGUGGUGAUUUUUAAUUUUCCGAUGGUGAUUUUCGGUUUGACGGUGGUGAUUUUAUGUUUGCCGGUGGUGAUUUUCUGGUGGUCACUGGAGGUGGCUGUGGCCGGAAAUGAUGGUCGGCGGUGGUGGGAGGUGGCUACUGGUGGAAUUAGAAUGGUGAUGGUGAUAAAAUAUUUAAAUAUUAAAAAUUAAUGUGUGGUGAGAGAUUAAUGUAAUUUAUAAAAUGAAUGGAUAGGAUUGGAUCUCAUAUCUCACAAUAAUAGUGGUUCUCACUGGAGCAUGAC
rnacentral:lncRNA from 1 species